UACGUAGGGUGCGAGCGUUAAUCGGAAUUACUGGGCGUAAAGUGUGCGCAGGCGGCCGAGCAAGUCGAGUGUGAAAGCCCCGGGCUUAACCUGGGAACUGCGCUCGAAACUACUUGGCUUGAGUGUGGCAGAGGGAGGUGGAAUUCCACGUGUAGCGGUGAAAUGCGUAGAGAUGUGGAGGAACACCGAUGGCGAAGGCAGCCUCCUGGGCCAACACUGACGUUCAUGCACGAAAGCGUGGGGAGCAAACAGG
rnacentral:rRNA from 1 species